GUAAAUGCAAACAUGCUAUUUAAUUAAAAAUAUUAAUUUGACUUUAAUCAGUUUUUAUCAACCUGCUAUUUACACUUGCUUUUAGUAAGUUACUUGUACUUUGAGGUUGAAAAAUCUUACCAGCUCAGUUUACUUGAGUUAGAUUAAUUUAGAAAAAGUAAGUUCAUGAUCUGUGGGCAUGCGCAGAUCAGUCCUCUCUACGCUAGACGGCGAUAUUUGUUCACCACUAUGGCCCCGCCCUUCAAUAGCUACUAUUGGCCAGGCGUCCAUGCUUACGUACCUGAUUUGUACAGGUCUUAUCCCCUGACUAACCUUAACCAAUCCAGGUGAAAUGCCUAACCCCAACCAAUCAAGCUGCUUCGUAGGGCGGGUCUUGGCGUGGCGGGAUUCGUAAUUUUGCAGACAUGUCACAUCUUGCCUGCAACUGAACUGACCAGGUGGAGCUGGACCUAAACAUCGCUUCAACUGGGCUUUUGUUUAUCUUCAUCAUAACAGCGAUUCUUAUGCUUGGCACACUCAUUUGGCUCAAGCAGAUGGUGAUCAAUCCACACAUAGGUAGUCCCAGCAGUAAAAGAUACUGUGGGUUCGACUUAUAGCCCAUCAAGAUGAUUACUUCAGCAGUGUUGCACAAGCACUGAUCAGAAAAUACCCCUGCCUCGCUGAGCCUGGACCACACAAAUGGUAUGGCUGGAUAAACAGCCUUAAAUUUAAGAUGGCCAAUUAUCGCACAAAGCUUCGAAAAGCUGGAUGUGAGGAUGUAGCAAUCCUGGUUGAAAAUGGUUGAACGAUGGCCAGCACUCUUCACAGAGAGACAGGUGUUUGCUGAGUUUAAUAGAAUCGCCAGUAAGAAUCUUGAGGGAGACUUUUUUGAGGCUCAGGACCAGUACGCACCACGUUUCAUCGAACUCUUCAAAACAAAGAAGGGAACUGUUGGCCAGAAACUCAGGGAGCUGAUUCAGCACAUAAGCUGUAAGACACCAGACGUGACAGUACUUCACUCUGUUGGCAUUCCCAUUUUACUCUGUGAUGAAUCCAGUGAAUUCUAUAAGACCUGCUAUGUAAGUACUUGCACAUAAGAAAAAGUUUGUCUGCAUGAAUAUAAAACUAUACCUGUGUUGACAUCGAAUAUGUAAUUCUAUCCGCUCGAUAUACAAUAUACAUUUUGUACAGUGACUGAUGUAUUUUGUAUAGCAAUACCUCUACAACUAAUCUGAGAGAUAUGUAAACAGCCAGUAAAUAAAAAUAAAAUUUUCCACAU